rnacentral:ncRNA from 1 species
CGGUUUCCGGUCUCCUGAGUUAAAAGGGAAUCCAGUGCAAAUCUGGAGCUGACGCGCAGCGGUAAGAAGUUAAGGGUGAUAGCGAAAGCAGACACUGCCGUAAGGUGGGAAGUCAUCAUCUGUUGUACUUUCGAGCCCGAAGACCUGCCGGUUAAC